CACUUUCAAAGGACAGCAGCAGCCCUUAA
rnacentral:tRNA from 1 species